rfam:Gossypium arboreum cultivar AKA8401 contig_6107_9, whole genome shotgun sequence.
UAUUAAGAAUUCAAUUCAUCUGUACUGUUAAAAAUUGACGUGGUUGACAGAAUAACCAGAUAGUAAAACAUUGCGUGUCACAUUUAUCUCAUGCUGACAUACAAUAACUAAUUUUUAACAAUAGAAAUAGAUGAAUUUUUUAACA